CCUACGGGGGGCAGCAGUGGGGAAUAUUGGGCAAUGGAGGGAACUCUGACCCAGCAACGCCGCGUGAAGGAUGAAGGUUUUCGGAUUGUAAACUUCUGUCGCGAGGGACGAAGAAUGACGGUACCUCGUAAGAAAGCCCCGGCUAACUACGUGCCAGCAGCCGCGGUAAUACGUAGGGGGCGAGCGUUGUCCGGAAUGACUGGGCGUAAAGGGAGUGUAGGCGGCCAAAUAAGUUAGAUGUGAAAACCUGCGGCUUAACCGCAGAACUGCAUCUAAAACUGUAUGGCUGGAGUGCAGGAGAGGUGAGCGGAAUUCCUAGUGUAGCGGUGGAAUGCGUAGAUAUUAGGAGGAACACCAGAGGCGAAGGCGGCUCACUGGACUGUAACUGACGCUGAGGCUCGAAAGCGUGGGGAGCAAACAGGAUUAGAUACCCUAGUA
rnacentral:rRNA from 1 species